ACUCCUACGGGAGGCAGCAGUGGGGAAUAUUGCACAAUGGGCGCAAGCCUGAUGCAGCCAUGCCGCGUGUGUGAAGAAGGCCUUCGGGUUGUAAAGCACUUUCAGUCGUGAGGAAGGUAGUGUAGUUAAUAGCUGCAUUAUUUGUACGUUAGCUGCAGAAGAAGCACCGGCUAACUCCGUGCCAGCAGCCGCGGUAUACGGAGGGUGCGAGCGUUAAUCGGAAUUACUGGGCGUAAAGCGCAUGCAGGUGGUUUGUUAAGUCAGAUGUGAAAGCCCGGGGCGUCAACCUCGGAAUUGCAUUUGAAACUGGCAGACUAGAGUACUGUAGAGGGGGGUUAGAAUUUCAGGUGUAGCGGUGAAAUGCGUAGAGAUCUGAAGGAUACCAGU
rnacentral:rRNA from 1 species